AGGCCACUGCUAUCGGAGUUCGAUUAAGCCAUGCGAGUCGAGAGGUGCAAGACCUCGGCAUACUGCUCAGUAACACGUGGACAACCUACCCUAAGGAGGGGGAUAACCCCGGGAAACUGGGGAUAAUACCCCAUAGAUUAUGGAUGCUGGAAUGCUCUGUAGUUGAAAGGUCCGCCGCCUUAGGAUGGGUCUGCGGCCGAUUAGGUUGUUGUUGGGGUAACGGCCCAACAAGCCCGUAAUCGGUACGGGUUGUGGGAGCAAGAGCCCGGAGAUGGAUUCUGAGACACGAAUCCAGGCCCUACGGGGCGCAGCAGGCGCGAAAACUUUACAAUGCGGGAAACCGUGAUAAGGGAACUCCGAGUGCCCGUUAAAUCGGGCUGUCCACCAGUUUAAACAACUGGUGAAGAAAGGGCCGGGCAAGACCGGUGCCAGCCGCCGCGGUAAUACCGGCGGCUCGAGUGGUGGCCACUAUUACUGGGCUUAAAGCGUUCGUAGCUGGUCUGUUAAGUCUCUGGGGAAAUCUGCCGGCUUAACCGGCAGGCGUCUCAGGGAUACUGGCAGACUAGGGACCGGGAGAGGUGAGGGGUACUCCAGGGGUAGGAGUGAAAUCCUGUAAUCCUUGGGGGACCACCUGUGGCGAAGGCGCCUCACCAGAACGGCUCCGACAGUGAGGGACGAAAGCUGGGGGAGCAAACCGGAUUAGAUACCCGGGUAGUCCCAGCUGUAAACGAUGCGCGUUAGGUGUAUCGGUGACCACGAGUCACCGAGGUGCCGAAGAGAAAUCGUGAAACGUGCCGCCUGGGAAGUACGGUCGCAAGGCUGAAACUUAA
rnacentral:rRNA from 1 species